rnacentral:rRNA from 1 species
UACGUAGGGUGCGAGCGUUGUCCGGAAUUAUUGGGCGUAAAGGGCUCGUAGGCGGUCUGUUGCGUCGGGAGUGAAAACUCAGGGCUUAACCCUGAGCCUGCUUCCGAUACGGGCAGACUAGAGGUAUGCAGGGGAGAACGGAAUUCCUGGUGUAGCGGUGAAAUGCGCAGAUAUCAGGAAGAACACCCGUGGCGAAGGCGGCUUUCUGGGACGGUACUGACGCUGAGACGCGAAAGCGUGGGGAGCGAACAGG